rnacentral:misc_RNA from 1 species
AACCUUUAACAAUGGAUCACUUGGCUCUCGCAUCGAUGAAGAACGCAGCGAAAUGCGAUACGUAAUGUGAAUUGCAGAAUUCAGUGAAUCAUCGAAUCUUUGAACGCACCUUGCACCCUUUGGCAUUCCGAAGGGUAUGCUCGUUUGAGUGUCAUUGUACUCUCAUGCUCCCAAUGCUUUUGGAUCGGGAGUGGUGGACUUGGGUGUUGCUGCUUUACUGUGGCUCACCUCAAAUGGAGUAGUGCAACUCUUGGUUGGACAUAGUACGGCGUGAUAAGUGUCUUCGCCGGCGCCUCAUUAGAGGGUGGCCGAUCGGGAGCUCUGUGCUUCAAACCGUCUUCGGACAACAUCUGACAACUUGACCUCAAAUCGAGUAGGACUACCCGCUGAACUUAAGCAUAUCAAUAAGCGGAGGCU